GAAAUGCGAUAAGUAAUGUGAAUUGCAGAAUUCAGUGAAUCAUCGAAUCUUUGAACGCACCUUGCGCUCCUUGGUAUUCCUUGGAGCAUGCCUGUUUGAGUAUCAUGAAAUCUUCAAAGUAAAUCUUUUGUUAACUCAAUUGGUUUCUACUUUGGUAUUGGAGGUCUUUGCAGCUUCACACCUGCUCCUCUUUGUUCAUUAGCUGGAUCUCAGUGUUAUGCUUGGUUCCACUCGGCGUGAUAAGUUAUCUAUCGGUGAGGACACUGUAAAAGGUGGCCAAGGUAAAUGCAGAUGAACCGCUUCUAAUAGUCCAUUGACUUGGACAAUACUUUUAUGAUCUGAUCUCAAAUCAGGUAGGACUACCCGCUGAACUUAAGC
rnacentral:misc_RNA from 1 species